rnacentral:misc_RNA from 1 species
UUUCCGUAGGUGAACCUGCGGAAGGAUCAUUCAUAAUAAAGUGUUUUAUGGCACUUUUUAAAAAUCCGUAUCCACCUUGUGUGCAAUGUUAGAUCUCGUCAAUCUUGGCGAGAUUUUUAUACAUUAACUCAUUCUUUAACUAAUUUGUCUGAAAAAUAUUAUGAAUACUCAAUUCUAAAUACAACUUUCAACAACGGAUCUCUUGGCUCUC